UACGGGGGGAGCAAGCGUUGUUCGGAUUUACUGGGCGUAAAGGGCGCGUAGGCGGUCGUGACAAGUCACUUGUGAAAUCUCCGGGCUUAACUCGGAACGGUCAAGUGAUACUGUCGGACUAGAGUACAGAAGGGGCAACUGGAAUUUACGGUGUAGCAGUGAAAUGCGUAGAGAUCGUAAGGAAGACCCAGUGGCGAAGGCGAGUUCUGGACAGUUACUGACGCUGAGGCACGAAGGCCAGGGAGCAAACGGG
rnacentral:rRNA from 1 species